rnacentral:tRNA from 1 species
CAGAAAAUAGUUUAUAAAAACAUUAACUUUGGAAGUUAAAAAUCAAAUCAUAUUUGUUUUCUGA